GACGAACGCUGGCGGCGUGCUUAACACAUGCAAGUCGAACGGAAAGGCCCAGCUUGCUGGGUGCUCGAGUGGCGAACGGGUGAGUAACACGUGGGUGAUCUGCCCCUAACUUCGGGAUAAGCUUGGGAAACUGGGUCUAAUACCGGAUAGGACAAUCGUUUAGUGUCGGUUGUGGAAAGUUUUUUCGGUUAGGGAUGAGCCCGCGGCCUAUCAGCUUGUUGGUGGGGUAAUGGCCUACCAAGGCGUCGACGGGUAGCCGGCCUGAGAGGGUGGACGGCCACAUUGGGACUGAGAUACGGCCCAGACUCCUACGGGAGGCAGCAGUGGGGAAUAAUGCACAAUGGGCGCAAGCCUGAUGCAGCGACGCCGCGUGGGGGAUGACGGCCUUCGGGUUGUAAACCUCUUUCGACAGGGACGAAGCUUUGGUGACGGUACCUGUAGAAGAAGCACCGGCUAACUACGUG
rnacentral:rRNA from 1 species